ensembl:lncRNA
CUGUGACACAAAGUUGAAUCGUCAGUUCACAUUGGAAUUUAGGGGAAUUCCAAUAGUUGCCAACUAAAUAGUUGACUGAGAAAAGGCCAUAAUGUCCCUCUCUUUCUAAGAGUGAAAAAAUAACAUGGUGUUAAUGGAGAGAGAUGAGUCAUGGAGACAGAUCAGAGCCACAGCAGCGUGCACCAGGAGUUCAACACGGUCCGCGUGUGCUGUGUUGCCUGACAACUUUUUACAAGCUAGCUACGUUAGCUGACAUGAAUAAAAACAAACGUUGCUGGAGAGCUUCUUCGGAAGGGGUAAGGGAGGUAAAAGGUCCAACGACGAUGUCAAUAAUGCAGAGACAGCAGAGCCCGAGACUGCCAAAAAAAGCAAGCUUCAUUCAAUAUAAAAUAUGAUCAGUCCUACCUAAAAUAUGGCUUUAUUGCGACUCACAUGCUCCAAGCCCCGUGUGUAGUAUGUGGAGCUCUAACGAGGCAAUGAAGAACUCAAAACUGCUUCGGCACAUCGAAUCCAAACACCCUACACUUAAAGACAAAACUGUUGAAUACUUUGAGCGAAGAAAACGUGAACAAGAAGGACAGAAGCAAGUUUUGAAAGUCACCGCAUCAACAAACGUGGCUGCACAGAGCUUCAUACUUAGUGGCUAGCUGUAUUGCUAAGGCCAAGAAGCCUUUCACUAUUGACGAGGAGUUGAUUCUACCUGCUGCUAAAGGACAUUUGCCGUGAACUCUUAGAAGAGGCUGCGGCUAAAAAGAUAGCACAGGUUCCUCUUUCGGUUACCAACCUUCACUAAGAUAAUUGAUGAAGUAGCGGAGGACGUUGAGGCACAAUUGUUAGAAAGGCUUUAACGAGUCACCGUGGUAUGCAAUCCAGGUUGACGAAUCUACCGAUAUCGACAUCAAGGCAAUACUGCUUGUUUAUGUGCGAUAUAUAUUUCAGGAUGAUGUGCAUGAGGAUUUGGUGUGUGCGCUGUCCCUGCUGACUAACACAGCGGCCGCAGAGCUAGUCAAAUCUUUGGAUGAUUACAUGUGAGGAAAAUUGGAUUGGUCAUUCUGCAUUGGCGUAUGCACGGAUGGGGCUGCUGCCAUGACUGGACGGCUGUCUGGUUUCACUACCCGGGUUAAAGAUGUUGCGCCUGAAUGUGAGUCUACGAACUGUCAUUCACAUAGAAAUGCUGGCUAGCCGAAAGAUGUCACCUGAAUGUAACGUCGUAUUGAAUGAUGUUAUUAAAGUUAUGAAUCACAUCAAAGCACACGCCCUUAACUCGCGUCUGAGGAAAUGGACGCAGAGCACAAACGCCUUCUCUUAUACACAGAAGUCGGAUGGCUAUCCAGGGGGAGAUCGCUUGCCAGAGUAUUUGAGUUACGAGAGACGCUGCAGAGAUUUCUUUCAGAAAAAAAAGUCACCACUGCCAGCACAUUUCAAUGACGAGGAAUGGGUCGCAAAACUCGCUUACCUGUGCGACAUAUUCAACCUGCUCAACGAACUCACUGUCACUUCAGGGGAGAAUGACAUCUGUCUUGAAUUUGGCAGAUGAAGUGGUUGUAUUCAAAGCCAAACUAGAACUGUGGGGACGGUGAGUGGACAGGGACAUAUUUGACAUGUUCCAAACAUUAGUGGAGAUUUUGGGAGAGACUGAGACCAGGCCGUCUUUCUUCCAGCUGGUGCGCGAUCACCUAGCUUCACUGUCAACGAAGUUCGAGCAUAACUUUCCAACCGCCAAAGACCCACAAAAUGCACAGGGAAUGGAUCCGCGACCCAUUUGUGAAUGUCCCAGGUGAACCGUCCAUGUCCGUGCAGGAAGAAGAUCAACUACUUGAGGUUGCAAAUGACGGUGGCCUUAAAAGUAUGUUUGAGGUAACUUCAUCUCUGCCGAACUUCUAGAUUAAAAUCAAGGCUGAAUAUCCUGAGAUAGCCACAAAAGCACUGAAAACGUUGCUUCCAUUUCCAACAUCCUAUUUCUGCAAAGCAGGGUUUUCCGCAAUGACGCCAAAAAAACGCAAUUACGGAGUAGACUGGACAUAAGGAACAUGUCACUGUCUCCCAUCACCCCUAGAUUGGGACCAUCUUGUUGCCGGGAAACAAGCUCAGGGCUCCCACUGAUUCAGCAACAUGCCGUUACAGACCAGGAAUACGACUUUCCCGAAGCGGAUCCUCUGUUCGGCCUACCACCCAGGACAAUGGAUCGGAUCCCAGUAGGCGACCCAAAACAACAGCGCCGCAGAAGGGGCGCUGUUAACCUUAGUUAUGGUUAAGGCUGUCUGUUAUUAGCUAUUGUUAAGACUGUCUGUUAUUAGUUAUUGUUAAGACGGUCUGUUAUUAGUUAUUGUUAAGACGGUCUGUUAUUAGUUAUUGUUAAGACGGUCUGUUAUUAGUUAUUGUUAAGACGGUCUGUUAUUAGUUAUUGUUAAGGCGGUCUGUUAUUAGUUAUUGUUAAGGCUGGCUUCUCAGAUACUUUUAUCUCUUAUCUUUUUAAAACACACAGAGGAUGUAGAAAAACAUUGUCACUAAACUGUAUUGUACAUACAAACACAGGCAGAAUACACAAACACAGGCAGAAUACACAAGCACAGGCAGAAUACACAGGCAGAAUACACAGGCAGAAUACACAAACACAGGCAGAAUACACAGGCAGAAUACACAAACACAGGCAGAAUACACAGGCAGAAUACACAAGCACAGGCAGAAUACACAGGCAGAAUACACAAACACAGGCAGAAUACACAGGCAGAAUACACAAACACAGGCAGAAUACACAAGCAGAAUACACAAACACAGGCAGAAUACACAAGCACAGGCAGAAUACACAAGCACAGGCAGAAUACACAAACACAGGCAGAAUACACAAACACAGGCAGAAUACACAAACACAACCCUUCUACGGGUUUUACAUUCAUAAAAGAAACUCACCGCAUCACAUGAUUUACAUCAUUCUACAUAGUCCUAAUAAAUAUUAUCUGUUGACUAUGAAUAUAUAAUCUUUUAAACAUAUUUACAAUCAAGAUGACUUUAAUGGCCCUUAGCAGCCUACGUGUAGACUAGAUUACCAUCUGGUGGUCAUAUUCACAUAUCUGUUAAAGUUGUUUUAAACAAAUAAAUAUAUGUAUCCAUCCCCAAGAGGAAGACUAUUAGCUGUACUGCUACAGCAGUACAGAGGACCAAAUCACCAUAUACUGUAUAUUCUGAAAGACUGAAAUGUAAUGCUAAUGGGGAGAGUUGGGAACCGUGCUCUGGUUACCUCGGAAUAGAGUAGAUAUGUAGGCUUGCUUGCCCCAUCUAUAGUUCUGAUGAUGUGGUAGGUUGAAAGUCAGGCUCUUGCUUGUUGUAGUUUGUUAUUGAGGAUAGUGUAGAGUAGUGUAUGCUGUUCAAAAGACUGCUUUAGGGCCGAUGUACACAACAUCCAACAAUUUCAAAGAUUUUCAAAGAGUUACAGUUGAUACAAAGAAAUCAGUCAAUUGAAAUAAAUUCAUUAAGC